rnacentral:rRNA from 1 species
AGCGAACGCUGGCGGCAGGCUUAACACAUGCAAGUCGAGCGGGCACUUUCGGGUGUCACCGGCGGACGGGUGACUAACGCGUGGGAACGUGCCCUCUGGUUCGGAAUCACUCAGGGUAACUUGAGUUAAUACCGGAUACGCCCUUUUGGGGAAAGGUUUGCUGCCGGAUGAUCGGCCCGCGUCUGAUUAGUUAGUUGGUGAGGUAACGGCUCACCAAGGCGACGAUCAGUAGCUGGACUGAGAGGAUGAUCAGCCACACUGGGACUGAGACACGGCCCAGACUCCUACGGGAGGCAGCAGUGGGGAAUAUUGGAAAAUGGGCGCAAGCCUGAUCCAGCCAUGCCGCGUGAGUGAUGAAGGCCUGAGGGUUGUAAAGCUCUUUUAUCCGGGACGAUAAUGACGGUACCGGAAGAAUAAGCCCCGGCUAACUUCGUG